UACGGGGGGGGCAAGCGUUGUUCGGAAUUACUGGGCGUAAAGGGCGCGUAGGCGGUUCGCUAAGUUGGAUGUGAAAACUCUGGGCUCAACCCAGAGCCUGCAUCCAAAACUGGCGGGCUAGAGUUCUGGAGGGAGUAGCGGAAUUCCUGGUGUAGCGGUGAAAUGCGUAGAUAUCAGGAGGAACACCGGUGGCGAAGGCGGCUACCUGGACAGAAACUGACGCUGAGGCGCGAAAGCUAGGGGAGCAAACAGG
rnacentral:rRNA from 1 species